CAACAUGUUGAAUUAAUUCAACACAAAUUAAUCCAAAUGGGAUUCAACACCCUCUUCAACAACUCCAUUAAACCAAUUCAACAGUUGAAUUCUAUUUUCAACACCUCCAUUGUAAGUAGUCUAAGAAUUUAUUCUAGAUGGUUCAAAUUAAAAAAAAAACUAGGGCCCACUAUCCUAGAAAAAAUACAAGCGAGACGUUUUGGUGAAAGUUGAAAACCGCCGCUUCAGCCUUCACCCGUAGUUUUCACUUUUCACCAGAUCUAUUUUCACUUUUCACCAUAGCUCUUCACCCGCUUGUCGAAAUCAUCAGAGUCGUCGAAGUUCGGCGCUUGUCGUCGAAGGUUGUCGUGUAAGUCGUCGAAUUCGUCGAAGUUCGUCGCUCGCUUGUCGUCGUCGAAGUCAUCAAAGUUUGCCGCUGCUCAACGUCAAAGAUUGCCGCCUUCACCACUGCCUUUCGCUCAGUCAAUCUCGCUGGCAUCCUCUCCCAGUAUAUCAGAUCUAAAAAAAAAAGGACCGGAUGAACAGCCAGAGGCCCUGUCAAUUGAGCCAAGGACCUUGGAAGCUUGGAGGACUGAUAGCUCGAGCAGGAACUGGAGAUGGCGCAGGAGAUGAAAAUUGUCAGGAACAGAACAAUUGGAGUACAAGCCUGAGGAGCUGGAGAACAAGCCUGAGAACCUGCAGCUUGGAGAGCAUGGACUAAUACGCAAGAUGAUGGGUCUGAUAUCAAGGUUUUAAAUAUCGGAUGUCGGGUUCAUGUCGGACGGCUGAAAUCCAUGUCGGAUAGCGGAAAUCGGGGAUAUAUCGGGGGACAUGGACUAAAUAUCGGAUUGCCAUAUCGGGUGAUCCACAUAUGUAUAAUAUCAUGCCCUAAAUGUAAUCUAACUAUCUAAGCAUUCCUAAAUUCAUAACUUCAUGACUCUGCACAUUUCAACAUUCAUAUGCACAUUUAAAAUAAAAUAAAUCUCUCCUUAUUAAUCAAUAAUCAUUAGCCUAUUAUUAAUCAGUUAGCCUAUUAUUAAUCAAGUGAUCAAACAUCAAGUAAUCAUUAGCCUAUUAUUAAUCAAAAUAGUCCACAAACCAAACAUUCACGUGUGAA